GGGGUCUCUUGUGAAUCCCACAUACUAAAAAAGAUUGAAAAGUUAAAGAUCAAACUAACUCAACCAUUGGUGUAGGCGAUGGAUAAUGUGCCAGCCCUUUAUUGACAUUUGACAACAUAUAAGGUUGCAAACAAGUACAAAGCCGUCUUUGAUGAAAUAUUCAUAUUGUUGUCUCAUUGAAACAAUCUAGUUUAAGUAUGCCAAAACUGCACUGGCCUUUCUGCACUUGCAUACUGCAUAAUUAUUGACUUUAUUGUCAAAGGACAAACUGGUAUGAAGCGCUUCGGAGAAGAUAGUAGGUGUAUUUCUAUGCAAAUCGAUGUCUUCAAUAGUUGGCUGUUGCGCAGUGACUAUUAAGAGGCAAAAAUAAAGAUAAAAAGGGCGGUGAUGUCAACGUGGUAGAGAGAUGUUAUAUAACUCAAAAUUGAAUAAGGUGAAGCACCAUACACCUUAAACUUAGCUCAAAGAAAGUAUGUGUUUUCAGGUGGAGUGCAAGCAGUGUGGGAAAACCUCCUGGGGAGGUUGUGGGAAGCACCUGAAAACCCUGUAUGCCAGCAUUGAUGAGGGAAAGCACUGCAUGUGCCGCUCCUGGCCUGGAGUUACCAUGCCCUCCAAGGAGACAACUAGCCAGCAACCAUCGCAAGUUUCUGGUUCAACUUCAACUACCAAGGAAAAAUAAAAUAUUGAAGAUGCCUUGGAUUCUGGGGGCAGUUGCUAUUAGUUAAGUUAAGAGUCAUGGUAGGCCUAUGAAUAAAUAAUGGAAAGUGAGUCUUAGUUGGAUAUGAUCAUGUCCUAGUAUACUCUUUUUUCCUAGUUUAGCUAAGAAGAAUCAUAUUAAUAAUGUAAUGUGGGUAUAGUCAAGAUAUGUUGACUAAUGCUAAAACUGCAUUUCGAAAAAAUGUAUGGAUUAAUUAAAUUAAUAAAAGAAUCAAGUACUUCCCCCAAA